UUCAGACAAGUUCCCCUUCCUUCUCUUUGUCCUGAAGACAGUCUCUGAGCGGAGGACUUCAUGUAAAACAAACACGCGUUACAUGGGAGGAACCUCGCGUUCGUCAGCAGGUCCCACACCCGUGGGGACCCCGGGCGAGUGCACGGCCUCCACGCACAGGUGAGUUUUAUGACAACAAUAAGGGCACCCAUUCGGUUCGAGGCCCCCUAGCAAUCUUCUCUUAAAAGACCAUCCGAAAGCCCGGCAGGCCUGUGAGCCAGGAGGUCACGGUUCGACUCCCUGUCAGGGCACAUGCCUAGGUUUCAGGCUCGAUCCCCAGUGUGGGGUGUGUAGGUGGCAGCCAAUCAAUGAUUCUCCCUAAUCAUUGAUGUUUCUAUCUCUCUCUCUCUCCCUCUCCCUUCCUCUCUGAAAUCAGUAAGAAUAUAUUUAAGGGAAAAAAAGACCAUCCUAAGUAUUUAGGGUAGCAGUUCGCAAUCUCAGGUGCACUGGAGUCCCCUGGGAAGCUUGAACACAUGCUAACGCCCAGGCUGCACCCCAACCAAUUAAACCAGAAUCUCGGGGGCCGGGCCCUUUGCCAGGGGUGGGUAUUUUUUCAGUUCCCAGGAUGUGACCUAGUUGAGAACCACUGAUUUAUGGGCGGGGAGGGGGGGAGGGUGCGGGCACACAGUGUUGUUAAAUGAACAAAGUUGGAUACUCAGUGCGCUUGUCAGAACCUGGUGAGCACUUUGGGAACUUUCCACAGAGGCCUGGGACCAGCCACCUGCCUCCCGGGGCCUCGGACAAGGUCCUGAAACUUCCCGCCUCACCUGCCAAAGGGAAAGCGAGGCCUCGGCCGCCUGGGGUCAGACUCUCGGAGAGUAGGCACCCGCCCUCCUGGCCAGCCUUCUCCUCUGCAGUGACCGGCCAGCGGGCAGGAUGCGUGCCCCGCACCAGGCGACCUCCCAGCCCCUCCAGGCACCAGGUGACCUCCCAGCCCCUCCAGGAGCCGCACUGUGGUCAGCCCAUUUCACAGUCAAGGACAUUGCCUCCGGGAGGGAGCCUCAGGCUGGGGGACCAGACCCAGCUCACACCGGCUCCUUCUCCCCUGAGGCACAGCGCCUCUGAGGAGCAGUUAAUGCUGCUGGAGUGGGAAGCAAAGUACAUGUGCUUGGGGCAAAGGGACAACUCGAGAAACCAUCUCGAGAUCAGUUAAGAAAACAGAGAAUUCAGAGAAGCAGCAGGUGAUUCAUUGAAAAAAUACUGCGGACAGUAGUUGAAGAGGUGCUGCCCAGCAGGUGCCGCUCUGAAGGUUGGGGAAGCGGGCCAUGCCUCUGCGUGCUCAGCCCUCAGCUCUGGGCCCCACGUCCGUCCGUGGCCCUCACUCGGGCAGCACCAGUAAAGGCGUAAACAGCCCUCCCUCCCGGGAUGGAUGGAAAAGAGCGGCUGCCCACGACUUUCCCACCCGCCAUGCCCGAGGGAUUAAAUGUCCACAUUGAAGCCAAAAUUGAUUGUGUGCGUGAACUGCGUAUGGCUGGUCUGCUGUGUUGCUGGUUUCUGCUGGCAUCGUGCGCAAAAUGUGCUUUGGGGCACCGUUCCUGAGGAGCCAUUUUUCCCGAUGUCAAUACAGAAUCACCAACCAUGCAGAACGAGCAAAGAUAUGCUCGCCCGGGCACAGAAGCCAGUGGCAGCGUCGAGCUAAGGGAGACAGUAACAUGUGCUCUCGGCACCUGUGGGGCAGGCUGGGGGUGUGCCAGCGCCUGACACAGCAAGCAGAGGGCACUGCCCACAUCAGACUCCAGAAAGCUUUCUGUCAGGUGUGCCACCUGCGUCCUUUGUGCCACCCUGUCCUUUCUGUGCCCGUGGAAUAUGCCAUUGAAGCCAACAGGUCUCUGAAAAGAAGCAAACUCAAUGCAGGCAGCUUCUUCGCUGCUCGUAGAAUUACACACGGACUCAGAGAGCUCCCCUCCGCCCUCCACGCCGGGAGCUGUUCUUAUCGCUCCCGACAGCCUGCUCCCUGAAUUCACGCACCGCUUGGGUUUGUCAUUGCUGCUCCGGUUUGUCCUUUGGCCCUUUGGGGUGUGCUGUUCAGAAACAAGACCUUCGUUGCAUCUUUUCUCUAUAAUCUACAGAAAAUGUGCUUUAUCUUGUC